rnacentral:rRNA from 1 species
UAGGGAAUCUUCCGCAAUGGGCGAAAGCCUGACGGAGCAACGCCGCGUGAGUGAUGAAGGUCUUCGGAUCGUAAAACUCUGUUAUUAGGGAAGAACAAAUGUGUAAGUAACUAUGCACGUCUUGACGGUACCUAAUCAGAAAGCCACGGCUAACUACGUGCCAGCAGCCGCGGUAAUACGUAGGUGGCAAGCGUUAUCCGGAAUUAUUGGGCGUAAAGCGCGCGUAGGCGGUUUUUUAAGUCUGAUGUGAAAGCCCACGGCUCAACCGUGGAGGGUCAUUGGAAACUGGAAAACUUGAGUGCAGAAGAGGAAAGUGGAGUUCCAUGUGUAGCGGUGAAAUGCGCAGAGAUAUGGAGGAACACCAGUGGCGAAGGCGACUUUCUGGUCUGUAACUGACGCUGAUGUGCGAAAGCGUGGGGAUCAAACAGG